UACGAAGGGGGCUAGCGUUGCUCGGAAUCACUGGGCGUAAAGCGCACGUAGGCGGCUUUCUAAGUCAGGGGUGAAAUCCUGGAGCUCAACUCCAGAACUGCCUUUGAUACUGGAAAGCUUGAGUUCGGGAGAGGUGAGUGGAACUGCGAGUGUAGAGGUGAAAUUCGUAGAUAUUCGCAAGAACACCAGUGGCGAAGGCGGCUCACUGGCCCGAUACUGACGCUGAGGUGCGAAAGCGUGGGGAGCGAACCGG
rnacentral:rRNA from 1 species